CGACGCCGCGUGAGGGAUGACGGCCUUCGGGUUGUAAACCUCUUUCAGCAGGGACGAAGCGUGAGUGACGGUACCUGCAGAAGAAGCACCGGCCAACUACGUGCCAGCAGCCGCGGUAAUACGUAGGGUGCAAGCGUUGUCCGGAAUUACUGGGCGUAAAGAGCUCGUAGGCGGUUUGUCGCGUCGUCUGUGAAAACCAGCAGCUCAACUGUUGGCUUGCAGGCGAUACGGGCAGACUUGAGUAUUUCAGGGGAGACUGGAAUUCCUGGUGUAGCGGUGAAAUGCGCAGAUAUCAGGAGGAACACCGGUGGCGAAGGCGGGUCUCUGGGAAAUAACUGACGCUGAGGAGCGAAAGCGUGGGUAGCGAACAGGAUUAGAUACCCUGGUAGUCCACGCCGUAAACGGUGGGCGCUAGGUGUGGGUUUCCUUCCACGGGAUCCGUGCCGUAGCUAACGCAUUAAGCGCCCCGCCUGGGGAGUACGGCCGCAAGGCUAAAACUCAAAGGAAUUGACGGGGGCCCGCACAAGCGGCGGAGCAUGU
rnacentral:rRNA from 1 species